rnacentral:rRNA from 1 species
AGCGAACGCUGGCGGCAGGCCUAACACGUGCAAGUCGAACGAACUCUUCGGAGUUAGUGGCGGACGGGUGAGUAACACGUGGGAACGUGCCUUUAGGUUCGGAAUAACUCAGGGAAACUUGUGCUAAUACCGAAUGUGUCCUUCGGGGGAAAGAUUUAUCGCCUUUAGAGCGGCCCGCGUCUGAUUAGCUUGUUGGUGGGGUAAUGGCCCACCAAGGCGACGAUCAGUAGCUGGUCUGAGAGGAUGACCAGCCACAUUGGGACUGAGACACGGCCCAAACUCCUACGGGAGGCAGCAGUGGGGAAUCUUGCGCAAUGGGCGAAAGCCUGACGCAGCCACGCCGCGUGGAUGAUGAAGGUCUUAGGAUUGUAAAAUCCUUUCACCGGUGAAGAUAAUGACUGUAGCCGGAGAAGAAGCCCCGGCUAACUUCGUGCCAGCCGCCGCAGUAAAAC